rnacentral:lncRNA from 1 species
GCAUGUUAGGUAUAGUUGAGGCUAAUGGGCCUUGAGUAUAAUAUUUACUAUGAUACUUGAUAGAUUGUGACUUUCCUGGAUUAUGACAUGGUUAUGUCAGAUAUAUUUAUAUAUCCAUACAUAGUUGGAUUGUGGGAAGUGUUUUAUCCUUAUAAAGGAUGUGGUCAUAGUUGAUAGAUGUUUUGAUGCUUAUAAUGGUAUUGUUUGGAUACUGGUGAUGGAAUGCAUAGAUUCGGUACAUUCAUGUGCACAAAAAUGGCAA